UCUGUUACAAGUUUAAAUUAUGUUUAUUGUGAAGGCGAUUUUAAGAUUUUUUUGGAGAUGAACACACGAGAGCUUAUGAUGUUGUAUAAAGAAGAAAUUAUAAGAGGCGAAUAAAUUGAUGGUUCCGUUACAAACGAUGCAAAGAAAUUCAAGACUUCGAAGGUCCCGAAUAGCUUGAAAGUGAAAAGUCUGCUUCAUUCUAAUAAUUCAGAGACCACCGAAGCGCAUGGCGACGCGAACAGAUUCGACAUCACAAGAGAGACUUGGUGACCUUUGUUGAUUAUGAAGAUCAUGAAUUAAGGCGAUGAUGUUAUUGCAACAGUUGAGCAGGCACCAUACACUCCAACAAACAAGAACAAGGGUGACCAACAAGACAAGAAAACACCACCAAGUGUCAAGUCGAGACGACAUCAAGUCAAUAAACUGUUUAUAGAGUAAGACAUUAUUUUAAACUAAACUGCAUGCUUCAAGAUAUUUAUAUAAUUCAUUACUGUGACUUCAUGUUAAUUCUUAAUAGUAUU
rnacentral:lncRNA from 1 species